CAAUAGCGUAUAUUAAAGUUGUUGCAGUUAAAAAGCUCGUAGUUGGAUUUGUGGUGUACUUCGGCGGCCCGUCACUAUGUGAUGGAGCUUGCUGAAGUCGCCAUCCUUGGGUGGAUUCUGUGUGGCAUUAAGUUGUCGUGCAGGGGAUGCCCAUCGUUUACUGUGAGAAAAUUAGAGUGUUCAAAGCAGGCUUAUGCCGUUGAAUAUGUUAGCAUGGAAUAAUAAGAUAGGACCUUGGUACUAUUUUGUUGGUUUGCGCACCAAGGUAAUGAUUAAUAGGGACAGUUGGGGGUAUUCGUAUUUCAUUGUCAGAGGUGAAAUUCUUGGAUUUUUGAAAGACGAACUACUGCGAAAGCAUUUACCAAGGAUGUUUNCAUUA
rnacentral:rRNA from 1 species